UCAACCCCCUCAUGUCCAAAAACUGCCUUUGCUCACUAUUCCUAUCCCAUUUCUAUAUUCUACAACGUUUGUUGCGUUCUCGCUCAUCAGGGUGUUAGUCAAUUCUAUCUUGCCACACGAAGAGAAUUAUCCUGCACACUUCGUGUGUUGGAUUCUACCCAUCCCUGUUGAACAUCUUCUUCCAUUUCAACAUUUUCUUCCAUCGCACUCAUCAGGGUGUUUGCUCUUUUCCAUCCAAGCCAAAGAGCGACUUCAGUGUGCUCUGAACCGUGGACGUGAGAGUGUGUGUUUGUGUGCUGCGUGGACUAUUUUUCCUGCGUAAAACACUUUCCCGUACGCGGUGUUCUUUCUGCUUUAUCGGAGGACGAAUUUUUAUCAUCUAAUUGUUUCGUUUCAGAUGUGUGCUGCUACCACUAGCUGUUCUCCAAACCUCUUCAAAUUGCACUGUGUGCGCAGGCGUUUAAGGUUCAAUUGAUCCUCAAGCACAAAGCCUUCAUACAACACCGCGGUUGAGGCGCGCCAAAUCUGAUGACAUCUUUCCUGAACCAAGCAGGUUGAACACGCGCACCACCACGGGCUCUAGCGCGGUGUGAAGAGGGAAGAAGAAAAGACAGAAUUGGAAACAGCCGCACCAGGCUUCCAACCACCGUGUGUGUGUGAAUGUAAGUAUGUGAGAACAUAUGUGUGAAUCCUCUUGUGGGAACUUCAAAAAGAAGAGAAUAAAGAGUGUGAAGCAGCUAGACUGCCGCAACCAAAUCAAGAGAGUGAAUUCUCAUUUCAAUCCGAAAAACUGGGAGAGAGUGAUGACAUGCGAGAGAGAAUAAAACUAGAAACACGAGAGAGGGCCACACGAAGCGCUUUCGGGUUUUUUCGCCUUCGCGCACAUUUUGCUUUAUGCGCGCGAAAAAGUGAGCCUUGAUCAGCGCGAUGGCUCCCAUACAAAGGCCUUCGGCUUUGCUAUCUGGGCGUGGCUUUUGACAAUCAAUAUGUCGAUUUUGGUAAUCAAUGUGUCGUUGGAAAGGUUUUUUGUCAUACUUUGAUGAAAUGUCUGAAUAUUUCGCAAAAAUUCGUUUUUAAAGUUGAUUGAUAAACAAAUGAUUGAAAACCAAACAUCUCUGCUGAAUUUUUGGAUAUUUUCAUUUUGGACAGUGAUUUUUUAUGAUUCGGCUUGAUUACUCGUGAGUCGUUUAUCAUAGAAAAGAUCAAAAUUUUUCCUUCGUUUUGACGUUGAAAUUGGC